rnacentral:sRNA from 2 species
UAUGAACCUGGUUAGGAGAGGCUACUAUAUAGAAAUACGCCACUGCCCAGAAACAUCCAGAGAUGCCAAUGGGUAAACAGGUAUAAUCGAGAAGGUUAUAUCUAAUGUGGCUGGCCAAGGCCUAAGCUAUAUAGAGCUAAAACCCAACAGGUGAAAG